CACAGUGAUUUGGGAAAGGGUGAUUGACAGAUUCAUGCUUCACAUGAGUUUCACCCGGGUUUUGACUGUGAGCCUAGGGCAUAAGCAGCACAGGUAGACAAUAGAGGCAGCCUGCUACUUUCCUAGUCUUUCUUUUUCAUAACAAACAAUUGACAAUCACAGCUCUUCCCCCUCUCUCUCUUCUUCAUCAUAGGCUUUAUAACUGCAAAGAGAUGAGGGGAAAUGGUAACUUCUCCAGUUUUUUUAAAGAAAUAUAAUCAUCUAGUAUGACAGGCCCCAUAACUUAUUUAUCUUAACUUUUACAGUUUUCUUACCCAGAGGUAACUUUUUCAGUUUUCUCCCCCAUGCCCCCUGUUUUCAAACUGAUUCCCCCCCCAAAAAAGAAAAAGGAAAAAACAGUGGAGAGAGCAUGAUUUCAAUAUUCUCUCAGAGUUUGUAAUGGCAGGAGACUUGCUCUACCUAUCAUCCUGAAAUUUGGCAGGAUUGAUCCAUGCUCAAGGGGUUCAUUUGUCUGCAAAUUUCACUCAGUUAUGUAAAGGGGGGGAAGUUGUUGCCAUUUUUAGAUGCUCCAUUUUUAGUCACUGAGAGCAAAACAAAGCAUGGAUUCUGUAUGCCACUGAAUGCCAGUUGCCGGGUCACAAAUGUGGAAAAUACCGUUGCAUUCAGGUUCUGUUUACUGGCUUCCCAUAGGCAGUAUGGUUGGCCAGUUUGAGGACAGGAUGUUGCAUUAAAUGAGCCACUGGCCUGAUGCAGAAGGGCAUUCUUACAUUCUUAUUUAGCAGAUCAGAUCUUAAUUGGAUUGGAACAACACAGAGUGGAUCUGAAACAAACUUGGCUGUUUUCAGAUGCUACAGAUGCCUGAUGGAAGGCAAACCUUUUGGGUUGUUGCACAACCCUACUAGUUGGGUGUUAUUCUCUACACUAUUUUGACUUUGGAAGUGGAGACAGGGGCCCUGCCAUUAUAACAUGCCUCACCACCAUCAUGUUGCUGAAAGCAUUGUAAAAAAGAAGUGCUGUAUGCAUAUAUAUUUGCAAUCCUGCUAAACAGUAGCAGAAGCAGAAUUUUUUAAAAAGCAGCAGGGCUGCUCUUAUCAAAAGCAUGAAAAUAAAAUGGCUUUGACUUGGUUUCUAUAAACAAAUAAAAGCAGGUAACUGAUAAGAUUGCCAUGGUUCUUAGUCUGUAGCAAUGGUCACCACCUCCAAAGGAAAACAUGCCUGGAGAAGGGCCUCUGAUGGUGAUCUAAAAAAACCCCAGGAAGGUUCAUACCAUUUUAUUUCCCUAGGCAAUUUAGCUUAUAACUCUUGCAGUGUCUUAUGUGCCCUGAAAAUUAUUUCAGAGUUCAAAGCUUUGUAAUGAUAUGUCCCUUGUCACCUAGCGAAUCAUUUCAUAUUUUUUGCUAUUCACUGAAAUUAUACGUAGUUCGCAGAAGGAUGGGAUAGAAAUGCAUCAUACCAAGGACAGGGGCCUCAAGAGUGUCUCUUGUUGCUUCUCCCAUAACUUCAGCAGGCUUGCGUCAAGAGCAGAAGCCAGUCAUGCUCCUCAAUCUCUUGAAGAAGCCUCUCCCAGUCAGCAUACAUGAAGUUUUGCUCCAUUCCUGCUCCUCCUUCCCAGAACCCCCUGCCAACUUCCCCUUUCAUUUACAUAAUCUCCCUUCUCACCUAGCAACCUCAGUUUCAAAAAUCUUCUGCAAAAGGCACUGGCAACCUCUGCUUCCCAACUUUCUUGGGCUCCAUGAUCAUUGCAGAUGGUGACAGCAGUCACGAAAUUAAAAGACGCCUGCUCCUUGGGAGAAAGGCGAUGGCAAACCUAGACAGCAUCUUAAAAAGCAGAGACAUCACCUUGCCAACAAAGGUCCGUAUAGUUAAAGCCAUGGUUUUCCCAGUAGUGAUGUAUGGAAGUGAGAGCUGGACCAUAAAGAAGGCGGAUUGCUGAAGAAUGGAUGCUUUUGAAUUAUGGUGCUGGAGGAGACUCUUGAGAGUCCCAUGGACUGCAAGAAGAUCAAACCUAUCCAUUCUUAAGUAAAUUAGCCCUGAGUGCUCACUGGAAGGACAGAUCCUGAAGCUGAGGCUCCAAUACUUUGGCCACCUCAUGAGAAGAGAAGACUCCCUGGAAAAGACCCUGGUGUUGGGAAAGAUGGAGGGCACAAGGAGAAGGGGACGACAGAGGACGAGAUGGUUGGAUAGUGUUCUCGAAGCUACUAACAUGAGUUUGACCAAACUGCCGGAGGCAGUGGAAGACAGGAGUGCCUGGCGAGCUCUGGUCCAUGGGGUCACGAAGAGUCGGACACGACUAAAUGACUAAACAACAAAAAGCUGGCACACAGGUGGGGAAGGGACUCCACCCCCUUCUCACCUGAGAAUGAAUGUCUCACCUUGAAUGGGACUGAAUGACUCUGCCAUCACCUGUCUUUGUUCUUUGAUGGCACCUGCCUCAGCCAAUCUCCUGAGGAAGCUGGCAUGACGUAUUUUUUAGGCCUUGCCAAAUCCAUGGAUCAACCCCACAUUUGCUAAUUUCAGAAAUUAUGGGGGGAACCUGGCACCCAGGAAUUUUAAUGGAUCCUUGCUCCCCGCAAACCCAUAACAAUAUUUAAGAAGUGAGUUAUCUGUUAACAAUACUUUCUGAGCAAAGAACUGCAGGAACAGCCUGACACUUGACUCUGAAACAGGUGUUGGUAGUACAAUCAGUGUUUUGAAGAAGACAGCCAUCUUCAGAAGUAUGAAGAGAAGCACUGAAUAUCUGGUAAAAUAUAUGCUCCCACCCCCUUCUGUGGCCUCAACUAAAGAGACACUGAGGCCGUGUUCAGUAACGAGCCCUCAUUUCAGGUCAACGUACUCUAUAAAAAGCAGUAACAGAAAUAGUGAAGGUACAGAAAAGGGCAUAUAGAAGAAAGACACACAGAGCUAAAGUGUGGGGUCCCUCCCCCUGUAAGGGGAGAAAAGAACUUGAGGGGACCUUUUGCCAGCCUUGAGGGUGCAAAAGAAGAGAUGAAGAGAGAAAGCCACCCAAAGUAUAGCAUACAAAGGGCAAUGGUUACAAGCAGCAAGUAAGUGAACCAUUGGUGGCUGCUAAAAAGAGGGCAGUCAGGAGGGAAUUUCUACUCAAAAAGAGGUUUCUUCUGCUCUUCUCCCUCUCCCUCCAAACUAACACAAGAACUGCAAAAGGGAUAAGGGGGAAGGAGUAUUUUGACCCUCACAGUUGUUGAAGCAAACACAUCUUGUUAUCAAGUCUAAUGCUCCCUUGACUUGAGUCUCCUGCUUUAAUUACCAUGCUGUUUUAGUGGGAUUGUUUCAUUGUGCAUUUUAAUUAUUUAAAAUCUUGAAUGAAAUUUCAACGGGAACAAUUUUCAUUUUUUAAUCUUGGAAGGGAGCUUUCUGACAGCAUGCUUCUCCCUCUUGAACUUCCAGUGCCUACUAAAUAGUUGUUCUUGUUUUAAUUCCAGAAGGCAGUUUGAUUUUAUAGUUUUGACUGAUUUCUGAUUGCAUUUUUGUAAACUGCUUAGAUACUAUUGUCAUUAAGUGGCAUAUAAACGGCUUAAUUUGUUAGUUAGUGGUUAGGCACAUUUCCUUGUGUCAUCUUAUCCUUACCUCUUAACCUGUGGGUGGGCAGGGCACAUAUUGUGAUGACCUUAUGGCAUAGGCAAGUGUCCUUAAACAUUAAAGGGAAAGGUGUGAAAACUUGACAGAGGAGUGCUGUUUUUGAAAUUAGCCUCCAGGUCAAGUAUAAUGUCAUGUUUCAGGAAGCAUUGUAGGUGCCACCUCCAAGAAACCUCCAAAAAGGAAUGGGAAAGGACUGUUUUCUUCUUCCUCUUCUUCUUCUAGCAUUUGUCUUUCAAGAAGGAUAAAAGCUACUCUCUGCCCUGAAAGUGUUUUAUCCCUGCCUCUUUUAUCUGCUUUGCAUUACUUUGUCCUUUCCCACUUUUAUUUAUAUAUCGUACUGACUGCCUUUUUAAUUUCUGUUUUUCAGUUUUGGAGACUGUUAUUUUCCUUCUUAUUUUGCAAACUACUUUGGGCUGCCCCCCCCCCAAUUUUCUUUAAAGAAAGGAAAAUAGAACAUACAGUAAGAAAAUAAUUUAUGUAAAUUAUUUGCAGCUUGCUAUUUUGGGUGCCAUGUAGCAAUGCCCAAGAGGGAUCACAAUCAACAUAAUUUAAAACAGAUUACAAGAAAACACAGUCGAAAAUUUGCAACAAAACCCCAGUUCAGGAGACUCUGAACCAGAUGAUAAACAAGCCCAUAAAUUUGUCAAAAAUAAAACAGAUUUUAUAUGCCGUCAGGGAAGAUGUCAGCAGGACCUUUCAGGUUGGGGGAGCACCACCAGUGUCAGCAUGACCCCUGAAUCCCACACAGAGUCUGUCAGUCAAGACCCCCAGAAGAACCUCCUGGACCAACACAGGCUGUAGGGUUAGAGUGUGGUUCUUCAUGGCCUUCUUCCCCUGAUGUAUCAGAUGACUUCACCAGUCCAGGCAGGAGACUAAGCAAGAGAGGAGGAAUACCUAUCUUCAGGCUGUGGCAUCUAGAUGAGUUGGUCUGGAGAAAGAGGUUUAAACGCUUCACUCCGCUUUUAACUUUUGUCAGACAAAGUUGACUACACCACCCUGUCUGUGAUCCCGCAACUUCUGACCUGCCUUGUCCCAUGGAUUUGGUAUGAGGUAUUAGAACUGUGACAGCUAUGUAGGGAUGGAAUUUUAUGAAAAUAUUUAUGUUGAAGUCAUCCGCAUGUAUUUUUCCCCCUACUCCCUGUCUCAUUCCUGAAUUGUGAUGAGAAGUAUGUUUCUUCCCCACCCUGGUUCUGCUAAAUUUGC